UGAGUAAUUAACUCAAUUGGUAGAGUGUCUCGCUUACAACGAGAAAGUUAGUGGUUCGACUCCAUUAUUACUUAU
rnacentral:tRNA from 1 species